GUAGUGCCGCCGGGAUUGCAGGCAGAGGAGGUUGCGCAGCCGCUUCCGUGCUACUCGCGCUGUGAGCAUUCCAAGCUAGAGCCGAGUACACGGGCCGGCCAUCAUGUCACGCUACGGGCGGUAUGGAGGAGAAACCAAGGUAUAUGUUGGUAACCUGGGAACUGGUGCUGGUAAAGGAGAGUUAGAAAGGGCAUUCAGUUACUAUGGGCCCUUAAGAACUGUGUGGAUUGCCAGAAAUCCUCCAGGAUUCGCCUUUGUGGAAUUUGAAGACCCUAGAGAUGCAGAGGAUGCAGUUCGAGGAUUGGAUGGGAAAGUGAUUUGUGGUUCUCGAGUGAGGGUUGAACUAUCAACAGGCAUGCCUCGGAGAUCUCGUUUUGAUAGGCCACCUGCCCGUCGUCCCUUUGAUCCUAAUGAUAGAUGCUAUGAGUGUGGUGAAAAGGGACAUUAUGCUUAUGACUGUCAUCGCUAUAGCCGACGAAGAAGAAGCAGGUUUCUUCGUUUGAGUCAGUCGCCUUGAUUCAGAAUGUCACGAGCCUUAUGAUAUCAUGCUGAGGCGCCUUGCAAAUCCGACAAUUAAGAUCCUCCUAGACCUUGAGGUGAUCAGCAUAAGAGGCCAGAUCCCCUCGAGUCAUCUACACCUAGCUUCACCUUAUUCUUUAAAGGGCAGAAAAUUUGAGUCGGUGAUCGCCGUAACAGUAAAUUUGGCUUACAAUUGGGGCCCCCUCCGCUUUAGAAAGAGGAACACCAGAUUGACCACAUUCCCAACUAGAAAAAUCUUCUUGCGUCAAUCAAGCCUCAUCUGGCUCUUUUGGCUGUCAGUUUGAUCGUCGUUAGAUUGAAGAAAACAUCUAGAUGCAGCGAUCGGCUAUAGAUACUUCUAGAUCAUCUAGAUCUACUAGACCUACUACUAGACCAUGGGCCAAAGAGGGUCGACCUGCAAACUUGCAAGGUCACGAUCUAGAUCCCAUUCCCGAUCCAGGGGAAGGCGAUACUCUCGCUCCCGCAGCAGGAGCCGAGGACGGAGGUCAAGAUCAGCAUCUCCUCGCCGAUCAAGGUCUGUGUCUCUUCGUAGAUCAAGAUCAGCUUCACUCAGAAGAUCUAGGUCUGGUUCUAUAAUAGGAUCGAGGUAUUUCCAAUCCCGCUCAAGGUCGAGAUCAAGAUCCAGGUCUAUUUCACGACCAAGAAGCAGCCGAUCAAAAUCCAGAUCUCCAUCUCCUAAAAGAAGUCGUUCCCCAUCAGGAAGUCCACACAGAAGUGCAAGUCCAGAAAGAAUGGACUGAAGUUCUCAAGUUCACCCGUUAGGGAAAAGUUAUUUUGUUUACAUUAUUAUAAGGGAUUUGUUAUGUCUGUAAAGUGUAACCUAGGAAGGAUCAUCAACCAUCUAAUCAAAAUGGAUCUGGAUUAUUACUCUGUAAAAUUCACAGCAGUAAAUAUUGUUUUGUUGAAUGUAUUAACAUCUUAUGGUCUGAAAAUGUGGGUUUUUAUUUGACACGUUUAAAUAAAAUGUUUCUAACUAGAUGUUUUGAUUUUUGUGUUCAAUAUUAAUACUUUUCAAUUGGGUAAGCAUCAGGCAAGGUAACAAUCAAGAGAAUUAUUGGCCAUAUUUAUAUGGGCCUGUAUUCAAAGUUUAAUGGUGUUAGUUAAACAUCAUUAACUGUUCUAUACGUAACACUGGCCAGGAUCUGAAAGGACUUUGAAAUUUUCAUUUUACUCUUGUACCUUUGGGUAAGAUGAUCUUUGAGUCCUUAAUAGCAUGAGUGCAUCAUGUCAGAUCUCUAAAUUGAGAAUUGGUGUUAACAAUUUGGAAUUGUCAAGCUUAGAGGGACCACUGAUAAGCCUACAAAUUGGUGCAUGACAGAAAAUAAGCAGAGUUACUGACAUGUCAGUAGAAACUGAUUUCUAGCGGCUGAGAUUUUAGUAGUGUAGUUUUUCAGGCUAUUAAGUUGGGUUAAUUCUGCUCAAUGUACUUUUUUCCUUUCAAACAACCAAUUUAAUACCAAAAAAUGCAUGUUUGAGGAAUUGUCUGAAUUUGGAACAAAACCUUGUAAACCAGCUUUGCAAAAUUAUCCAGCCCCAGUCCUCUGUUCUUUUGAAUGGAUUGCCUUAUCCUGUGCAAAAACCUGUUAAUAUCUGAGCUAGAUUUUGUAUGAAGCUAUGUGUAAUUGGCAGACUUAUCUGUUGCACUUGGUUAGCUUGGUUACUGACAUUGUUCUAUUUUGCCAAGCUGGUAUAAAGAGAUGUCAAGCAAAGUGUUAAUAAGAUAAAGCAGUUUUGUAAACCUUACAUAUUAGCAUUUCAUGUAGCUAAGGAUUGUUAUGUUUUUGUUUUGGGUUUUUCCUCCUUUGGUAGUGUCUGGUAGACCUUAGAAUGGUGUAGCCAGUAGGUUCUUACUCAGACUUUAAAUAUAUUAUGCAUAAUAGGGCAGUAAUGGUCAUUUUCAAACGUUUUUUGGACAAGCUUUUUACUAUAUUUCUUAGCCUUGGUGUAAAAACAAUAGCACAGGAAUCUGUCCUUGUCUAUUUUAGGCUUUUUCAUCGAAGUUGUCUGCCCCAAAUUUAUUUGGCUGAGUGGUCACUAGUAUGUUGAAAGUCAUUUGGGUUCUGUUUUUAGAAUUUGACUGGUUGAAUAAGUGGUUGGUAUGAAGCUAUGUGUAAUUGGCAGACUUAUCUGUUGCACUUGGUUAGCUUUAAUUGUUCUGUAUUCAAAAAUUAAGUUUGUUCAAUAAAUCUGCAGAGAUUGAACAAAUAA